GAUGAACGCUGGCGGCGUGCCUAAUACAUGCAAGUCGAGCGAACAGACGAGGAGCUUGCUCCUCUGACGUUAGCGGCGGACGGGUGAGUAACACGUGGAUAACCUACCUAUAAGACUGGGAUAACUUCGGGAAACCGGAGCUAAUACCGGAUAAUAUAUUGAACCGCAUGGUUCAAUAGUGAAAGACGGUUUUGCUGUCACUUAUAGAUGGAUCCGCGCCGCAUUAGCUAGUUGGUAAGGUAACGGCUUACCAAGGCAACGAUGCGUAGCCGACCGGAGAGGGUGAUAGGCCACACUGGAACUGAGACACGGUCCAGACUCCUACGGGAGGCAGCAGUAGGGAAUCUUCCGCAAUGGGCGAAAGCCUGACGGAGCAACGCCGCGUGAGUGAUGAAGGUCUUCGGAUCGUAAAACUCUGUUAUUAGGGAAGAACAAAUGUGUAAGUAACUAUGCACGUCUUGACGGUACCUAAUCAGAAAGCCACGGCUAACUACGUG
rnacentral:rRNA from 1 species